rnacentral:rRNA from 1 species
GACGAACGCUGGCGGCGUGCUUAACACAUGCAAGUCGAACGGUGAAGCGCCUUCCUUUUUGGUGGGAGUGGAUGAGUGGCGAACGGGUGAGUAACACGUGAGUAACCUGCCCCCUUCUUCUGGAUAACCGCAUGACAGUGUGGCUAAUACGGGAUAUUCUGGGUCUGUCGCAUGAUGGGUCUGGGAAGGAUAUUGUUUCGGUGGGGGAUGGGCUCGCGGCCUAUCAGCUUGUUGGUGGGGUGAUGGCCUACCAAGGCGGUGACGGGUAGCCGGCCUGAGAGGGUGGCCGCACAGGAAGGGAUUGAGACACGAGCCGGCUACGGACGGCAGCAGUAGGUGAGCAUACUCGAAGAGUGAAAGCAUGCCUGAGCAACCGCGGCCGCGUGAGGAAGGUCGGCGUUUGGGUUGUAUACGUUUUUCGCGAGGAAAGAAGGCCUGCCUCGUUGUGGGUGGGUUGACGGUAGCUAGAUAAGAAGCGCCGGCUAACUACGUG